UCCAUGGGGUUGUUCCUAAUGGUUUGUGAGGU
rnacentral:piRNA from 1 species